GAUGAACGCUGGCGGCGUGCCUAAUACAUGCAAGUCGAGCGAACAGACGAGGAGCUUGCUCCUCUGACGUUAGCGGCGGACGGGUGAGUAACACGUGGAUAACCUACCUAUAAGACUGGGAUAACUUCGGGAAACCGGAGCUAAUACCGGAUAACAUGUUGAACCGCAUGGUUCAACAGUGAAAGACGGUCUUGCUGUCACUUAUAGAUGGAUCCGCGCCGCAUUAGCUAGUUGGUAAGGUAACGGCUUACCAAGGCAACGAUGCGUAGCCGACCUGAGAGGGUGAUCGGCCACACUGGAACUGAGACGCGGUCCAGACUCCUACGGGAGGCAGCAGUAGGGAAUCUUCCGCAAUGGGCGAAAUCCUGACGGAGCAACGCCGCGUGAGUGAAGAAGGUCUUCGGAUCGUAAAACUCUGUUAUUAGGGAAGAACAAAUGUGUAAGUAACUAUGCACGUCUUGACGGUACCUAAUCAGAAAGCCACGGCUAACUACGUG
rnacentral:rRNA from 1 species